CUCCAGUUUCUACUGUGAGGCCUGGGCGGAGAGGAGUAAUCCCAGAGUUCUUCAGGAAUACUGGGGCGCCUGUCACAAAUUUAUCACAGUUUUGGUGAAAGGGACACUUUCUGGGUCCUCCCAGUGUGGAGUUCAGCUUUGAAGACUCCUGAAAAAUCUGGCAAGCUUUCCCAUCGCCUGCUUCAACCAAUAAGCAUCGCUACCUCAAGGAAGUAAGUUGUGCAUAUAAAGGGGCUCCUUGAAUUCAUUCUUGAUUCUGUCAAGCCAUCCUCAAUCUGGAUAAUUGGUCCCUGUGUGCUUGGAGGAGGACUUUGACUCUGAACAGAAUAUCUCCAUCCUGUCGUUGGUUGUGAACCACAGUGCCAUUGCCAUCUAAGGCUUUUGAUGCUAACUGCACGGAGCAUUUGCAUAGCACAGUAA